UAUGUCGCUUGUGCUACUAAAAUCCCCAAAUUUUCUGAAUCCUAAACCCUAAAAAAAACCUAGCCUGUCGCAAAACCCUAAAAUAAAAAAAUUGGCAAUUUUUUUGUCCAUGGCAGCAAUCAACCUCUGGAAACGCAACAAUCGUGUUCCUCCGGAGGUGGACGGGAUUCUAGAAGUGCAUCAUAGGCGUUCCGAUGUAAUCAAUGGGGAAAUGUAGAAGUGAAGCCGGAUAAAUGCUGUAUGGGAUGUGUACGGUCUGCUGUGGAGCUUUGGAGAAAAGCGUGGCGAAGAUGAUAAAGGAAUUUGAGCAGGAAAAGAGAAGCAAGGCGAUAUUCGGAAGCUCCAGGCGUAAGUCUUGGAUUGGCCAUCAUAUAGUUAAUCUACUUCAUGAACGUAGAGAUUGCUUCGAGCCGAUUGUCUAUGCACACACUGUAAUUGGUUAGCUUAAUUACGGCAGAUCUUCGUUUCUUGGUGUUUGCAACCAUGUCUGGAUGUCCUUUCCUCAUCAUGGCAACAAAUUCAUCGUAGUUGAUACGUCCAUCCUGUAGGUAUUUAAACAAUUUAAUCAGUCUCUCUUAUAUAGAUUCAGUAUAUUUUGCCAUGCUAUGAAUUAAGAAUUGUAUAGGAGACAAAGUGUAGGUUGCAGUUGAGAUUUAGCUUACAUUAUUGGUGUCGACUUCACUGAUUAUUUCCUUUAUGUCCUUCCCAUCGCCCAUGCCAAAUUCCCUGAGAGCCUGCUCUAGUUCUUCUAGCGAAAUGUACCUGAUUUCAAAAGAAGAAAGCUUUCAGGAGCCUUAUCUCAGUAAAGUAGCUAACCUGGGAUCGAAUCCUUAAAAUAUGCUCAUUGUCCAUGUAUAUAUAUAUAUAUAUACCCGCUAUUGUCUUUGUCAAAAUACUGGAAUGCUGUGUAGAGAUGCUCUUCUCUGUCCAUUCUGUUGAGAUGCAUUGUUGCUGUAAUGAAUUCUUCGUAGUCUAUGGUACCAUUUCCGUCAGCAUCCGCCUGAUUUUACAUUUGCAUUCGCAGACAGGGUAAGGAAAGGUACGCAUUAUAUAUAAGAGCAAUAAAUGGUUUUUUUUUUUCAUUCAAGGAUACUUACAGCUUCCAUCAGUUGUUUGACUUCGUAUUCGGAUAUCUUUGUCCCUUGUUUAGCUAAUCCUUGCCUCAGCUCUUCUAGCGUUAUCGUGCCACUUCCGUCAGCGUCCAUGUUUUUGAACAUUUCUUUCAGACCCAUGAUUUCUUCCUCCGACAGGCAGCCCGCAAUAACCUUCAUUUUCAUUUUUUUUCAGGUUAUCCGCGAAUCAGACACCAUAUGUUGUCUGGUAUAGGUACUUACCCGAAGUGCCAUUUUCUUGAACUGAUUCAUUGCCCGGAACUGUUUGAGCCUGUUGAGAACAGCAUUGUCAAGCGGCGUAUCAGGUGCCUCCCCGUCCUCCUUGAUCCAUGGAUGAUCUGCAGAGAAAAGAUUACAUACUUAGCACUUCAAAUGCUGUAAGCCUCUGCUUGGGAUCCUGAUUCAGCAUCUUCUUCACAAGAUCCUUUGCUUGGGGUGAGAUCGACGGCCAGGGAUCGCACGAGAAAUCUACAUGCCCCCUUAAUAUGGCGUUGAAGAUGCCCGUCUCCGACUCUGCCCAGAAAGGAGGAACACCGGAAAGAAGGAUGUACAACAUGACUCCAAUACUCCAAAUGUCGACUUGAGGUUUAUUACAAAUGAAUGAUUUAGGGAGAAAGAUGUACUGACCUUCCUUGUAGAAGACAGAGAGCCCGAAAUCUGUGGCCUUAAGCGGCGCAUUCUCGUCCUUGUUCAAGAGCAAGAAAUUCUCGGGUUUGAGAUCCCUGUGUAUCACCCCCAUCGAGUGGCACGUGUGCACGAUCUCCACGAUCGUCCGGAGAAGCGAUGCGGCGGCGCGCUCCGUAUAGUGCCCCUUGGCGAUGAUCCGGUCGAAAAGCUCACCACCGGCGCAAAGCUCCAUGACGAGGUGGACCGAGUGCUUGUCCUCGUAGGCGCCCUUGAGCUCGACAAUGUUUGGCUGGCCCGACAGGUGGUGCAUGAUCUGGACCUCGCGCCGAACGUCCUCCACGUCCUCCUUGUUCGCAAGUUUCCGCUUGGCAAUCGUCUUGCACGCGUACUCCACGCCGGUUUGUUUGUGCGUGCACAGGUACGUUACGCCGAACUGCCCCCGUCCGAGCUCCUUCCCGACCGUGUACGUGUUUCGGACGUCCUCCAUCGGGCGGCCGAGGACGGGGCCGAUGGGGCCGGGAGGCUUCGAAGGCUUGGUGGAUUGGGUGGCGGACGGCGGCGGCGUGGUGGUUGGGCCGGAUGUGGAGGGGGAGUCUUUAGAUGCGUCAUCGCUGUUGGGGGCCUGGGCGGCAGAGGGGUCUUGUGCGGCAGCAUCGUCUUCGCUCCGGGAACAGCAGCUACCCAUUGGCGGAGGAAGAGGCGGCGGUGGCGGCGCGGCGGCAGCGGCAGCGAUGCCCGGAGGAGGGAGGAGCUGAGGAGGAAGGAAGAGUUGUGGGAAUGAUGAAGGAGAAGGGAAGGGAAGGGAAGGGGAGGGAAAGGGAAGGGGGAAAUGGGAUGGUGGUUUGGGAGACAAAUAUGGAGAGAAAGGGAGAAAUGUGAGGAAAUUUAUUUACCUAAAUUUACUCUUUUUGACUAUUUGGGGAAAUUUCAGGUUGCACCAAGAGUAAGGGGUUGGGAGGAUUUUUAGGCAACAGACAAACUACUAUUGUCAUAUUAUUAUUAUUAUUGUAGUUAUUAUUAUUAGUUAAUGUCAUUUUGUUUUAAAUUAACCAACAUAUAAUGAUAUUAUUGAAUCCUUUCAUGAGAGAUCAACCAAAUAUUUUCAUU